CAGGCUGUACUUUCAGGAAUCAUUUCUAUAGUUUGUUACUAGAGAAAUUUCUCUGAACAUGGAGAGCACCAGAAAAUAUU
ensembl:snoRNA U3 Small nucleolar RNA U3